GUGCCAGCCGCCGCGGUAAUACGGAGGGAGCAAGCGUUAUUCGGAAUCACUGGGCGUAAAGGACGCGUAGGCGGGUUAGUAAGUCAGGUGUGAAAUCCUACAGCUCAACUGUAGAACUGCACUUGAAACUACUAACCUAGAGUAUGGAAGGGGCAGAUGGAAUUAGUGGUGUAGGGGUAAAAUCCGUAGAUAUCACUAGGAAUACCGAAAGCGAAGGCGAUCUGCUGGGACAUUACUGACGCUGAGGCGUGAAAGCGUGGGGAGCAAACAGGAUUAGAUACCCUUGUAGUCC
rnacentral:rRNA from 1 species